rnacentral:rRNA from 1 species
CAAACGACUCUCGGCAACGGAUUCUCGGCUCACGCAUCGAUGAAGAACGUAGCAAAAUGCGAUACUUGGUGUGAAUUGCAGAAUCCCGUGAACCAUCGAGUUUUUGAACGCAAGUUGCGCCCGAAGCCUUUCGGUCGAGGGCACGUCUGCCUGGGCGUCACAC